UACGGGGGGGAGCAAGCGUUGUUCGGAUUUACUGGGCGUAAAGGGCGCGUAGGCGGCCAGCGCAAGUCAGUUGUGAAAUCUCCGAGCUUAACUCGGAAAGGUCAACUGAUACUGUGCGGCUAGAGUGCGGAAGGGGGCAACUGGAAUUCUUGGUGUAGCGGUGAAAUGCGUAGAUAUCAAGAGGAACACCUGCGGCGAAGGCGGGUGCUGGGCCGACACUGACGCUGAUGCGCGAAAGCUAGGGGAGCGAAGCGGG
rnacentral:rRNA from 1 species